UUAUGGCCAUAUCAUGUUGAAACACUAGUUCUCAUAAUGAUCACCAUUGUUAAGCAACAUUGAGCCCAGUCAAUACCUAAAUGGGUGACUACUUGAGAAUACCAGGUGCUGUAAG